GAUGAACGCUGGCGGCGUGCCUAAUACAUGCAAGUCGAGCGAACGGACGAGAAGCUUGCUUCUCUGAUGUUAGCGGCGGACGGGUGAGUAACACGUGGAUAACCUACCUAUAAGACUGGGAUAACUUCGGGAAACCGGAGCUAAUACCGGAUAAUAUUUUGAACCGCAUGGUUCAAAAGUGAAAGGCGGUCUUGCUGUCACUUAUAGAUGGAUCCGCGCUGCAUUAGCUAGUUGGUAAGGUAACGGCUUACCAAGGCAACGAUGCAUAGCCGACCUGAGAGGGUGAUCGGCCACACUGGAACUGAGACACGGUCCAGACCCCUACGGGAGGCAGCAGUAGGGAAUCUUCCGCAAUGGGCGAAAGCCUGACGGAGCAACGCCGCGUGAGUGAUGAAGGUCUUCGGAUCGUAAAACUCUGUUAUUAGGGAAGAACAUAUGUGUAAGUAACUGUGCACAUCUUGACGGUACCUAAUCAGAAAGCCACGGCUAACUACGUG
rnacentral:rRNA from 1 species